GGGUUGUGAGGUUAAGCGACUAAGCGUACACGGUGGAUGCCCUGGCAGUCAGAGGCGAUGAAGGGCGUGCUAAUCUGCGAUAAGCGCCGGUAAGGUGAUAUGAACCGUUAUAACCGGCGAUACCCGAAUGGGGAAACCCAGUGUGACUCGUCACACUAUCAUUAACUGAAUCCAUAGGUUAAUGAGGCGAACCGGGGGAACUGAAACAUCUAAGUACCCCGAGGAAAAGAAAUCAACCGAGAUUCCCCCAGUAGCGGCGAGCGAACGGGGAGGAGCCCAGAGCCUGAAUCAGCAUGUGUGUUAGUGGAAGCGUCUGGAAAGGCGCGCGAUACAGGGUGACAGCCCCGUACACAAAAGCGCAUGUGCUGUGAGCUCGAUGAGUAGGGCGGGACACGUGGUAUCCUGUCUGAAUAUGGGGGGACCAUCCUCCAAGGCUAAAUACUCCUGACUGACCGAUAGUGAACCAGUACCGUGAGGGAAAGGCGAAAAGAACCCCGGCGAGGGGAGUGAAAAAGAACCUGAAACCGUGUACGUACAAGCAGUGGGAGCACCCUUCGGGGUGUGACUGCGUACCUUUUGUAUAAUGGGUCAGCGACUUAUAUUCUGUAGCAAGGUUAACCGUAUAGGGGAGCCGGAGGGAAACCGAGUCUUAACCGGGCGUUAAGUUGCAGGGUAUAGACCCGAAACCCGGUGAUCUAGCCAUGGGCAGGUUGAAGGUUGGGUAACACUAACUGGAGGACCGAACCGACUAAUGUUGAAAAAUUAGCGGAUGACCUGUGGCUGGGGGUGAAAGGCCAAUCAAACCGGGAGAUAGCUGGUUCUCCCCGAAAGCUAUUUAGGUAGCGCCUCGUGAACUCAUCUCCGGGGGUAGAGCACUGUUUCGGCUAGGGGGCCAUCCCGGCUUACCAACCCGAUGCAAACUGCGAAUACCGGAGAAUGUUAUCACGGGAGACACACGGCGGGUGCUAACGUCCGUCGUGAAGAGGGAAACAACCCAGACCGCCAGCUAAGGUCCCAAAGUCAUGGUUAAGUGGGAAACGAUGUGGGAAGGCCCAGACAGCCAGGAUGUUGGCUUAGAAGCAGCCAUCAUUUAAAGAAAGCGUAAUAGCUCACUGGUCGAGUCGGCCUGCGCGGAAGAUGUAACGGGGCUAAACCAUGCACCGAAGCUGCGGCAGCGACACUGUGUGUUGUUGGGUAGGGGAGCGUUCUGUAAGCCUGUGAAGGUGUGUCGUGAGGCAUGCUGGAGGUAUCAGAAGUGCGAAUGCUGACAUAAGUAACGAUAAAGCGGGUGAAAAGCCCGCUCGCCGGAAGACCAAGGGUUCCUGUCCAACGUUAAUCGGGGCAGGGUGAGUCGACCCCUAAGGCGAGGCCGAAAGGCGUAGUCGAUGGGAAACGGGUUAAUAUUCCCGUACUUGGUGUUACUGCGAAGGGGGGACGGAGAAGGCUAUGUUGGCCGGGCGACGGUUGUCCCGGUUUAAGCGUGUAGGCUGGUUUUCCAGGCAAAUCCGGAAAAUCAAGGCUGAGGCGUGACGACGAGGCACUACGGUGCUGAAGCAACAAAUGCCCUGCUUCCAGGAAAAGCCUCUAAGCAUCAGGUAACAUCAAAUCGUACCCCAAACCGACACAGGUGGUCAGGUAGAGAAUACCAAGGCGCUUGAGAGAACUCGGGUGAAGGAACUAGGCAAAAUGGUGCCGUAACUUCGGGAGAAGGCACGCUGACACGUAGGUGAAGUGAUUUACUCAUGGAGCUGAAGUCAGUCGAAGAUACCAGCUGGCUGCAACUGUUUAUUAAAAACACAGCACUGUGCAAACACGAAAGUGGACGUAUACGGUGUGACGCCUGCCCGGUGCCGGAAGGUUAAUUGAUGGGGUCAGCGCAAGCGAAGCUCCUGAUCGAAGCCCCGGUAAACGGCGGCCGUAACUAUAACGGUCCUAAGGUAGCGAAAUUCCUUGUCGGGUAAGUUCCGACCUGCACGAAUGGCGUAAUGAUGGCCAGGCUGUCUCCACCCGAGACUCAGUGAAAUUGAACUCGCUGUGAAGAUGCAGUGUACCCGCGGCAAGACGGAAAGACCCCGUGAACCUUUACUAUAGCUUGACACUGAACAUUGAGCCUUGAUGUGUAGGAUAGGUGGGAGGCUUUGAAGUGUGGACGCCAGUCUGCAUGGAGCCGACCUUGAAAUACCACCCUUUAAUGUUUGAUGUUCUAACGUGGACCCGUAAUCCGGGUUGCGGACAGUGUCUGGUGGGUAGUUUGACUGGGGCGGUCUCCUCCUAAAGAGUAACGGAGGAGCACGAAGGUUGGCUAAUCCUGGUCGGACAUCAGGAGGUUAGUGCAAUGGCAUAAGCCAGCUUGACUGCGAGCGUGACGGCGCGAGCAGGUGCGAAAGCAGGUCAUAGUGAUCCGGUGGUUCUGAAUGGAAGGGCCAUCGCUCAACGGAUAAAAGGUACUCCGGGGAUAACAGGCUGAUACCGCCCAAGAGUUCAUAUCGACGGCGGUGUUUGGCACCUCGAUGUCGGCUCAUCACAUCCUGGGGCUGAAGUAGGUCCCAAGGGUAUGGCUGUUCGCCAUUUAAAGUGGUACGCGAGCUGGGUUUAGAACGUCGUGAGACAGUUCGGUCCCUAUCUGCCGUGGGCGCUGGAGAACUGAGGGGGGCUGCUCCUAGUACGAGAGGACCGGAGUGGACGCAUCACUGGUGUUCGGGUUGUCAUGCCAAUGGCACUGCCCGGUAGCUAAAUGCGGAAGAGAUAAGUGCUGAAAGCAUCUAAGCACGAAACUUGCCCCGAGAUGAGUUCUCCCUGAGACUUUAGGUCUCCUGAAGGAACGUUGAAGACGACGACGUUGAUAGGCCGGGUGUGUAAGCGCAGCGAUGCGUUGAGCUAACCGGUACUAAUGAACCGUGAGGCUUAACCUUACAACGCCGAAG
rnacentral:rRNA from 1 species